rnacentral:hammerhead_ribozyme from 1 species
AUCCAGCUGACAAGUCCUAAAUCAGACGAAAUGCGCAUCCUGGAU